rnacentral:rRNA from 1 species
UGGGACCUCAGGUCAGGCGGGGCUACCCCG